rnacentral:rRNA from 1 species
AGGCUUAACACAUGCAAGUCGAGGGGCAGCAUGGUCUUAGCUUGCUAAGGCCGAUGGCGACCGGCGCACGGGUGAGUAACACGUAUCCAACCUGCCGUCUACUCUUGGACAGCCUUCUGAAAGGAAGAUUAAUACAAGAUGGCAUCAUGAGUCCGCAUGUUCACAUGAUUAAAGGUAUUCCGGUAGACGAUGGGGAUGCGUUCCAUUAGAUAGUAGGCGGGGUAACGGCCCACCUAGUCUUCGAUGGAUAGGGGUUCUGAGAGGAAGGUCCCCCACAUUGGAACUGAGACACGGUCCAAACUCCUACGGGAGGCAGCAGUGAGGAAUAUUGGUCAAUGGGCGAGAGCCUGAACCAGCCAAGUAGCGUGAAGGAUGACUGCCCUAUGGGUUGUAAACUUCUUUUAUAAAGGAAUAAAGUCGGGUAUGGAUACCCGUUUGCAUGUACUUUAUGAAUAAGGAUCGGCUAACUCCGUGCCAGCAGCCGCGGUAAUACGGAGGAUCCGAGCGUUAUCCGGAUUUAUUGGGUUUAAAGGGAGCGUAGAUGGAUGUUUAAGUCAGUUGUGAAAGUUUGCGGCUCAACCGUAAAAUUGCAGUUGAUACUGGAUAUCUUGAGUGCAGUUGAGGCAGGCGGAAUUCGUGGUGUAGCGGUGAAAUGCUUAGAUAUCACGAAGAACUCCGAUUGCGAAGGCAGCCUGCUAAGCUGCAACUGACAUUGAGGCUCGAAAGUGUGGGUAUCAAACAGGAUUAGAUACCCUGGUAGUCCACACGGUAAACGAUGAAUACUCGCUGUUUGCGAUAUACAGCAAGCAGCCAAGCGAAAGCGUUAAGUAUUCCACCUGGGGAGUACGCCGGCAACGGUGAAACUCAAAGGAAUUGACGGGGGCCCGCACAAGCGGAGGAACAUGUGGUUUAAUUCGAUGAUACGCGAGGAACCUUACCCGGGCUUAAAUUGCAGAUGAAUUACGGUGAAAGCCGUAAGCCGCAAGGCAUCUGUGAAGGUGCUGCAUGGUUGUCGUCAGCUCGUGCCGUGAGGUGUCGGCUUAAGUGCCAUAACGAGCGCAACCCUUGUUGUCAGUUACUAACAGGUUCCGCUGAGGACCCUGACAAGACUGCCAUCGUAAGAUGUGAGGAAGGUGGGGAUGACGUCAAAUCAGCACGGCCCUUACGUCCGGGGCUACACACGUGUUACAAUGGGGGGUACAGAGGGCCGCUACCACGCGAGUGGAUGCCAAUCCCCAAAACCUCUCUCAGUUCGGACUGGAGUCUGCAACCCGACUCCACGAAGCUGGAUUCGUUAGUAAUCGCGCAUCAGCCACGGCGCGGUGAAUACGUUCCCGGGCCUUGUACACACCGCCCGUCAAGCCAUGGGAGCCGGGGGUACUUGAAGUGCGUAACAAAGAGGAGCGCCCUAGGGUAAAACUGGUGACUGGGGCU